rnacentral:misc_RNA from 1 species
GCCGGAGAGCUGAUAACCCACCAGCAGAAAACCGGCGCUCAUGACGAGCGCAUUGGUCGCAAACGCGUGCUGUAGAAAGCCGGGCCUCAUGCGCCAGUACGUCAGCGCGAUGAGGAUGCCGGUGAGCGCCAGUCCCUGCCCAAUCUCGACGCCGACGUUGAAGCUGACGAUGUUGGCGACGAGCCCGUUUGGCGAGAUCGCGAACUCCUGAAGCUUGGUGGCGAGGCCGAAUCCGUGGAACAACCCGAACACCAGAACGGCCAGCUUCGUAUUGGGCUGGAAACCGAAGAAGCGCCGGAAGCCGUCCAUGUUCUCGAACGCUUUGUAGACGACCGAGAACCCGAUCACU